rnacentral:rRNA from 1 species
AGUGAACGCUGGCGGUAGGCCUAACACAUGCAAGUCGAACGGCAGCACAGUAAGAGCUUGCUCUUACGGGUGGCGAGUGGCGGACGGGUGAGGAAUACAUCGGAAUCUACUUUUUCGUGGGGGAUAACGUAGGGAAACUUACGCUAAUACCGCAUACGACCUACGGGUGAAAGCAGGGGAUCUUCGUACCUUGCGCGAUUGAAUGAGCCGAUGUCGGAUUAGCUAGUUGGCGGGGUAAAGGCCCACCAAGGCGACGAUCCGUAGCUGGUCUGAGAGGAUGAUCAGCCACACUGGAACUGAGACACGGUCCAGACUCCUACGGGAGGCAGCAGUGGGGAAUAUUGGACAAUGGGCGAAAGCCUGAUCCAGACAUACCGCGUGGGUGAAGAAGGCCUUCGGGUUGUAAAGCCCUUUUGUUGGGAAAGAAAAGCAGCAGGUUAAUACCCCGCUGUUCUGACGGUACCCAAAGAAUAAGCACCGGCUAACUUCGUG